CUUUGUCUGAAAAUAAAAUAUGAUCCUCAACUGCGUUUCCCAUCCAGUCAGCAGACGGCGAUGUGAGUCUUUCAGGCGACGCUUCCAGCGUGACGUAUAAUCUAGUGGACGGUUCUUCAGAAACAGCUCGUCAACCAUCUUGGUCUGCUGGACGGAGAAAGUGUCUGUGGCAGAACAUUGUUGUGAAAGAGGAGGAGUAUGUUACAGUAAAACAAGUAGAGGGUGAGGCUGUUACAGUGAAAGAAGAGAAAUACGUUUCAGUGAAAGAAGAGGAAAACGCUUUCAGAGUUAAAGAGGAGGAUGUUACAAUAAAAGGAGAGGAGGAUGCAGUUUUUGGUGUGAAAGAGGAGGAGGGGGAGAUCACUGUCACAUUGGAGGAAGAAGAGGAGGUUGGAGAUCUGUUUAACACCAAUCUUCUCAGAAAUGAAUCAAGUCCAUGGAAUGGAUAUAGACAAAAAGAUAAUUCAAGGACUAUCAGAGGUAGAGAGGCGAGGCAGGGGUGAGGACAUCAUCCUGCUAUUUUGACAGUCCCUGAAGGACAACACAGAAGAGGACUGGAGACCACAGCAGCGAUUCUGCUCUUGCCCAACCUCUUCAAUGAGGACCCGAGUGGACUUUAUGUCCGUGAAAAGAUUUCACCGCUCUUCACUCCUUUACUGCACAUCGGCGGAAAUCUAUUUCACCAUAAGAGUGAAAUCCCGCUGGCCUUUGAUGGGGAGAACAUCCACGCCCUCGAGGACGUCCCCAUGGACUUGGGGCUCUGCUACGGCUGUAUUUUUUUUUUUCCCUUAAAUUUCCCCAAAAUGUCAGAAAAACACUUAUGUUGUUAAGUUACUGUGUUCUGGGGAGAAGAGAAGUUGGGGUGAAGUUACCAGGGCCGGUCAUGAAGACAAACUUCCUAACACAACUAAGUGAGUAUGAUAUACACACUAAAGCUGAAAAAAUCUGUAUUUAGCAUCAAGUCUACAAUAUUGUUAGUUUACCUAUGAUUCAUUUUUAAUGUAUGUUUUAUUGUACGUCAUUAUUAUUAUUUUUUUUAAAUGUCAUGGAAAUCACUAUACAAAGUAAAUGUAUUAUUUAAUAUGGUCUGACAUGUCUGCAGAAAUGUUGGUAAGUUGUUUUGUAAAUAUUAAUUCACAUUUGUGGUGCCACUAAAUAAACAAUUAAUUUUUAAGUCA